rnacentral:rRNA from 1 species
AUCAACGCUGGCGGCGUGCCUAACACAUGCAAGUCGAGCGAGAAAGGGUAGCAAUACCUGAGUAAAGCGGCGCACGGGUGAGUAACACGUGACUAACCUACCCAGGAGUGGGGAAUAACUUCGGGAAACCGAGGCUAAUACCGCAUAACACCUACGGGUCAAAGGAGCAAUUCGCUUCUGGAGGGGGUCGCGGCCGAUUAGUUAGUUGGCGGGGUAAUGGCCCACCAAGACGAUGAUCGGUAUCCGGCCUGAGAGGGCGCACGGACACACUGGAACUGAAACACGGUCCAGACUCCUACGGGAGGCAGCAGUGGGGAAUUUUGCGCAAUGGGGGAAACCCUGACGCAGCAACGCCGCGUGGAGGAUGAAGUCCUUCGGGACGUAAACUCCUUUCGAUCGGGACGAUUAUGACGGUACCGGAAGAAGAAGCCCCGGCUAACUUCGUGCCAGCAGCCGCGGUAAUACGAGGGGGGCGAGCGUUGUUCGGAAUUAUUGGGCGUAAAGGGUGCGUAGGCGGUUUGGUAAGUCUCUUGUGAAAACUCCGGGCUCAACUCGGAGCCUGCAGGAGAAACUGCCGGGCUUGAGUGUGGGAGAGGUGAGUGGAAUUCCUG